AAUAGGAGAUGUUUCCAGGUCAGGAAAGAUCAAUGUGAACAGCAUCCAACUUCCCAGAAACGGUCUGGUGGGCGUGGGAGGUGUUUGGGAACACUGUGCCAGGGCUUGUAGGGGGACUUUCUGGGCAGAUGUGGUCUCUAGGACAAACCAGGGCUGGACCCGUCUCUAGAACCUGGGGAGCAGUAUCACAGGGAAUGUUGCCCCAAGGCCUCUGCCCUCAGCAUUGCCCACUGGGAAGACGGCCAGUGCUGUACACUUUUGGCAACAGGAAGGAAACUCAGGGCUAAGGAGAGGAGGGUGGGAGAGACGACUGCCAAAGUCCAGGCCCUGCAGAGUGAGGGACACCAUGGGGCUCCACUGGCAGCUGAGAUCUUGGCUCUGAGGCCCAGGUGGUCAGCUUGGGUGGGGGCCCCCUUGCAAUGCAUGAGUAUGGGGUGUCUACUAUGUGGAAGAUGACCCGGAAGGCAAGGGGUGCCAAGAUGCCACCAUGAAGCCCAUCUCCUCUCACUGCUGUCCCACGCCCCAUGACAUUGCAGCUCCUGAGGGGCUUCUCUGUGGGAGCAGGGGACAAGGAUUGGCCCCAGCAAGACGCUUGAGUUGCUGAUGACCCAGAACAUGGGAUUCCUGUCUGUGAACAUAGGAACCCUGCAGGUCAAGGGACAAGGACUCAGCUGGAAGUCUGCAGUAUCCCCCCAGCUGCUAGAGCUUGUCUGCUGCAACCCAGUUCCUGAGAAGUGGACCUUCACUCCUGCUAAAGG